CCUACGGUGAGCUGCAGUGGGGAAUAUUGCACAAUGGGGGAAACCCUGAUGCAGCGACGCCGCGUGCGUGAAGAAGUAAUUCGUUACGUAAAGCUCUAUCAGCAGGGAAGAAAAUGACGGUACCUGAGUAAGAAGCCCCGGCUAACUACGUACCAGCAGCCGAGGUAAUACGGAGGAUGCGAGCGUUAUCCGGAUUGAUUGGGUUGAAAGGGGGGGUAGGCUGAAUGCCAAGUCAGCGGUAAAAUCGCGGGGCUCAACCUCGCUCCGCCGUUGAAACUGGCGUUCUUGAGUGGGCGAGAAGUAUGCGGAAUGCGUGGUGUAGCGGUGAAAUGCAUAGAUAUCACGCAGAACUCCGAUUGCGAAGGCAGCAUACCGGCGCCCAACUGACGCUGAAGCACGAAAGCGUGGGUAUCGAACAGGAUUAGAUACCCCAGUAGUC
rnacentral:rRNA from 1 species